GACGAACGCUGGCGGCGUGCUUAACACAUGCAAGUCGAGCGGUAAGGCCCUUUCGGGGGUACACGAGUGGCGAACGGGUGAGUAACACGUGGGUGACCUGCCCUCAGCUCUGGGAUAAGCCUGGGAAACCGGGUCUAAUACUGGAUAUGACUCCAUGACGCAUGUUGGUGGGGUGGAAAGCCUUGUGCGGCUGAGGAUGGGCCCGCGGCCUAUCAGCUUGUUGGUGGGGUGANGGCCUACCAAGGCGACGACGGGUAGCCGGCCUGAGAGGCGACCGGCCACACUGGGACUGAGACACGGCCCAGACUCC
rnacentral:rRNA from 1 species